rnacentral:piRNA from 1 species
UGGGAAGAUAUUCACCGAACUGCCUAAAU